CAACGUAAUGUAUCUUUCUUAUUACAUCAUCAUAUACACAUGACAUACGAGCCUAAUAGGCCAACAUGAUCCUUUAAAAACUCAAAAUAUAGGCCGACAAGGCCGUACAAUCUUUUAUGUACACAACAUAUGUCUACAAGCCUCUAAGAGUACGUAAAUGUCAUAAAGGUUGGGAUAGAAUCCCGCCAUACCAAACAAUACACGUCUAAAUGAUACUAACCAAACGAGCAACUCUGAAGCAAAUGGAGCGCACCAACAUCUUCCGCUGAGCUGAUAGCCUACUUGGAGGACUCUCGACCUGUCUAUCGGGACCCGCGGGCAUGAAAUGCAGCAUCCCCAGGCAAAAGGGACGUCAGUACGAAUAAUGUACCGAGUAUUUAAGGCACAUAAAUUAAUACAUAAGAGACAUGGAAGAAAUAUAUAGCACAUGACUCAACCUGUAAGUCUGAAUAACUUUAUAAAUCAUAAAUUACUUUUAGCGUCAUACAUAUGUGUAUGAAUGUCUUGUCGUGCAUAGGUACAUGUUUCAUAAUAUCAUCAGCCUCUGAGGGCAUCCCAUCAUAUCAUAUCAGCCACUGUGGUCAAAAUCAUCAUCGUAUACCAGUUCAUCAGGUGGUGGUGCAUAUAUAACGCGUUAACCUUUCCCAUAUCCCAUACACAUACAUAUAUAAUGCCGUUUGAAUCAUAUUUCAGCCAAUAGGGGCAACAUCAUCAUCAUAUACCAGCUUAUCAGGUGGUGGAGCGUAUAUAACGCCGUAACCUUUUCCCAUAUCCCAUAUACAUAUAUUUACAUAUAAACGCGUAUAUAACGCCAUCUGGUCAUGGGUCAAUGCACAUGUAUGAAAUGCAUGAAAAAUACAUAAUAAUCUCAAUAUUCUUUCCAGAUAAAUUUUUCCAAUUGCGUAUUAUUCUGAGACCCAUGAGCAGAAGAUAAUAAUAUGUUUCAUGGGGAAUCAAGAAUAUAGACACCCCUACUAUUUCUAUGAAUAGAGUAAUUUAUGGAAACUGUGAGUUUGCUCGUUUCUUUAGUAUCAUAUGGACAAUGCCAAAAGAAUGAAGGGAGGGCCUUAACAUACCUAUUCCUGGAAUUAUUUGAACGGAAUGAAGCUUCUGCUUCCGUGAAAUAUGUUGAACGAAAUUCUGACUGAAUCCCUUGAAAUUGAGAGUAAAACGUUUCUGGUUCUUUGAGUUUUAGAAGGAAUAACGUUUGGAUUCCUUAUGAUUCACAUUGGAUUUGAAUGUUGGACAAAAUGAUCUGCUUCUAACGUUUUUGGUUUGAAUCCAAAGUCAGAAUGUGGUUUCCUAAUGAAUGGCUUACUAAGUUUCCAAAAAAAUGAUCAAAAGUCUUGUUUAAG
rnacentral:lncRNA from 1 species